rnacentral:lncRNA from 1 species
UAAAUUUUGCAUUGCUAAACAUGCUCGUACUGUUAUUUUUUCUGCUGGUUGUCCUCCCAGAUGUUUUGUAUAUACCUGAAUUUUCUUUUAGGCUUCUUUCAGUUCCCAAACUGUGCAAGGCUGAGUUGCGUAGUUUCCUUUACAGACACAACUUUUAUACAGGAUUUGAAAACCCAGACAAUGAUUAAUUCUGGUGAGAAGCUAG